AAAACUUUCAAAAUGUAUCAGUUGUUUAAAUCUGCACACAUAGGCCGGGCAGUAUUGUUUAAACGCGGAUUCUGAUUUCACUGCAUUCGCUAUGUAGGUUGUAUUUUCAGAUGGACUUAAGUACAGAGUGCAGGGUGAGGAUAGAGACUGCACUUCACAUUCUAGUCUAACGAAUCUGCCACGCCUUCAAGAGACCCGCGGCUGGAGUGCUGGCCCUUGCACGAUAUUUGGGCGGUUACAAAAUAGGAAAAGGAAGAAAUUCCCCAUGGUCUGCGUAGCCACCGUCCGCUUGUAGCGAUCGGGGUCCAGGAACGGGGGACGUGCGACACCUAUAUGGCACGACCCAAAAAUUGACACAGUGGAACUUUUCUUACAGGACUUGGGUUGAUAAGUUCCCGAUCCACACCAGUCAUUUGGAUAAAAUCCAUUACAACGGUCAUUGAGAUAAUGGAGCCUUCGAUGCCGACAAGAUUCAGGCAACCCGUUCCAUCCUCUGACGACACUAUGGAGGAUGGAACACUUGUACAAUUGUUUCUUAGCAUAUGCCAUUAUCUUUAUCUGUUUUUGAAUAUUUCAUUACGUUGUGUUUUUGUAUUUACAAUAUAAUGUUCAGAGUUUUACGUAUUAUUGCUACUUCACUUUUGAA